GUAGCUGAAGAUAAAACUGAAGAAACCAAAGAGAAACUGGGAUCCAGUGAUACUGCAGGUUCUGUUAAUACGGAGAAUAAAGAAGCAAAAAACAAUUCAGGGUCAAAUGGAAAACUCAAUGAGUACGUUACAGAAUCGGCAACCAGCACUGAGAAAGAAGUUCAUCCAUUGCUGACUGAUGCCAAUAAAGUAGAUG